UUGGGAGCUCUCCCAUAUGGUCGACCUGCAGGCGGCCGCGAAUUCACUAGUGAUUAGAGUUUGAUCCUGGCUCAGAUUGAACGCUGGCGGCGUGCUUAACACAUGCAAGUCGAACGUGAAAGUCCUUCGGGGCGAGUAAAGUGGCGCACGGGUGAGUAACGCGUGGAUAAUCUACCCUUAAGAUGGGGAUAACGGCUGGAAACGGUCGCUAAUACCGAAUACGCUCCCGAUUUUAUCAUUGGGGGGAAAGAUGGCCUCUGCUUGCAAGCUAUCGCUUAAGGAUGAGUCCGCGUCCCAUUAGCUAGUUGGCGGGGUAACGGCCCACCAAGGCAACGAUGGGUAGCCGGUCUGAGAGGAUGACCGGCCACACUGGAACUGGAACACGGUCCAGACUCCUACGGGAGGCAGCAGUGGGGAAUAUUGCACAAUGGGCGCAAGCCUGAUGCAGCCAUGCCGCGUGUAUGAAGAAGGCCUUCGGGUUGUAAAGUACUUUCAGCGGGGAGGAAGGGAGUAAAGUUAAUACCUUUGCUCAUUGACGUUACCCGCNNANAANCACCGGCUAACUCCNUGCCAGCAGCCGCGGUAAUACGGAGGGUGCAAGCGUUAAUCGGAAUUACUNGGGCGUAAAGCGCACGCANGCGGUUUGUUAAGUCANAUGUGAAAUCCCCNGGNCUCAACCUGGGAACUGCAUCUGAUACUGNCAAGCNUNGANUCUCGUANAGGGGGGUAGAAUUCCUGNNGUACG
rnacentral:rRNA from 1 species